rnacentral:rRNA from 1 species
CGACGAGAGGACAUGGGAAGCUUGCUUCCUAUGAAAUCGAGUGGCAAACGGGUGAGUAACGCGUAAACAACCUGCCCUUCGGAUGGGGAUAACAGCCGGAAACGGCUGCUAAUACCGAAUACGAUCUUUUCGUCGCAUGACGGAAAGAAGAAAGGAUGGCCUCUAUACAAAGCUAUCGCCGAAGGAGGGGUUUGCGUCUGAUUAGCUGGUUGGAGGGGUAACGGCCCAACAAGGCGAUGAUCAGUAGCCGGUCUGAGAGGAUGAACGGCCACAUUGGGACUGAGACACGGCCCAGACUCCUACGGGAGGCAGCAGUGGGGAAUCUUCCGCAAUGGACGAAAGUCUGACGGAGCAACGCCGCGUGAGUGAAGAAGGUCUUCGGAUUGUAAAGCUCUGUUAUACGGGACGAAAAAGACGGAUGCCAACAGUAUCCGUCCGUGACGGUACCGUAAGAGAAAGCCACGGCUAACUACGUGCCAGCAGCCGCGGUAAUACGUAGGUGGCAAGCGUUGUCCGGAAUUAUUGGGCGUAAAGGGCGCGCAGGCGGUUCGGUAAGUCUGUCUUAAAAGUGCGGGGCUUAACCCCGUGAGGGGACGGAAACUGUCGAACUUGAGUGUCGGAGAGGAAAGCGGAAUUCCUAGUGUAGCGGUGAAAUGCGUAGAUAUUAGGAGGAACACCGGUGGCGAAAGCGGCUUUCUGGACGACAACUGACGCUGAGGCGCGAAAGCGUGGGGAGCAAACAGGAUU